ACUAAGAAAUGAUUACUCACUUUGAUUGUAUAUUGUUUUUGGCCCUUGUCCACUUUUUACAUAAGUAUAUGUAGCUCUUCUACCUCACUCUAUAUAGAAAUUAGAAGAAAACUUUUAAAUAAAAUAUAAGAGCAAAUAAUCAAGCUACAUAAGGGGAAAUAAUCAAACAAAGUACCAAGAGCUAGGAUUAAAAGUAAAAUUACAAUCAAAGUACCAAGUUCUAAGUUGCACUAAGUUUCAACGA
rnacentral:lncRNA from 1 species